rnacentral:rRNA from 1 species
UACGUAGGGGGCAAGCGUUGUCCGGAUUCAUUGGGCGUAAAGAGCGUGUAGGCGGCCAGGUAGGUCGGUUGUGAAAACUGGAGGCUCAACCUUCAGAGGUCGACCGAAACCAUCUGGCUAGAGUCCGGGAGAGGAGAGUGGAAUUCCUGGUGUAGCGGUGAAAUGCGUAGAUAUCUGGAGGAACACCGGUGGCGAAGGCGGCAUCCUGGACCGACACUGACGCUGAGGCGCGAAAGCUAGGGUAGCAAACGGG